rnacentral:lncRNA from 1 species
GUCAUCAUCAUCAUGAGAUGCAUAAAAACCCACAGACUCCUCUCUGCUGCAUCACAUUCUCAGGUGAAGGCCUGCUCAACACAGCUCAACACAGCACAGCACAGCACAGCAAGCACUCCUUAUCUCAACUGAAAGACAAGAAGCUUGGAUCGUGAACAUCCCAGACCAAGUAUAAGGAUAAAGAUGGAAUCUCGCUUCAGUGCUCACGUUCUCCUAUGCGGACUGGUCUUGUCGAUAUGUAUUGCGUGGGCCGACUGUGAAUUGCCCGACAAUAUGGUGGAAGAUAUCAACCAUCUGAAAAAAACCCUUAACCUGUCGAACCUUAAGGACAAGCCUGGCAGUUUCUUCAAGAAACUACUGCAGGCUAUGGAGAAGCAGUUUGAGAGGGAGGACCAGAGGCUGGUGGUGCUGGAGAUGAUGUCUGCCUACUCCCGCAUCUUUGACCAGAUAAGUAGAGAGACAACAAGCCAGCGAGACAGUGGGACCCCAACCCUGCGCAACCACAUGAAGAUCAUGAGAAACGACACGGUCCUGGACAACAGCCGUAAACUGUGUGACAUGCAACGUACCAUCAGGGACUACAAGACUAGCAGUCCUGUGGAGCAGCUGAGGGCUCUGGAUGACUUUCCCGUGGUCUAUGAACGAGCCUCUGAGCUGACCCAACCAAAACCAAAGAAGAAAUUCCAUCACUAGAAACUGCCUAAAGCGGACCCACAGAAUACAUACAUACAUGUAUACACACACACACACACAUACAUAGACACACUUUCUUUCUUUCUUUCUUUCUUUCUUUCUUUCUCUCUUUCUCUCUCUCUCGCUCUCUCUCUCGCACACACACACACACACACACACACACACACACACUCCUACACGUAUACCUCUCCAUUUUCAUCUCUGCUGCUGGAGGUGGGUCCAGUAUGGGUCAGUCAUAAGCUUUAAGCCAUAGUUUUUUUGACCUGUGCUAAUUCAUUUUUUGUACGGUGCUAUGAAUGCUAGUCUGAGUUUGGUCUAGAAACGUUUUUCACAAAUCUUAGUGCUAAAUUAUUUCUUCAUUAUUUAAUGUAAUUUAAUAUAAUAAGUCAUAUUUAAUUUAAUAGCAAAAUCUACUGUAUGGUAUGAACUUUGUCAUGUUUUUUUUUUUGUAACUUAUUGUCAUAAUCAUUCAUCAUCACCAUUAUUGUACUGUAUUUAUAAUUCAGCCAAAGUUUAAUUGGUACAACUGUGUGAAUGUUAAUGUUGCAUUGUACAACCCCAUGAUAUUUUGGGACAGAUGUCAGAUGCUACCUUAAUAAAAAAAAAGAAUUAUAGUAUUGAAUCGAUUUC